UACGGAGGGUGCAAGCGUUUAUCCGGAUUCACUGGGUUUAAAGGGUGCGUAGGUGGGUUGGUAAGUCAGUGGUGAAAUCUCCGGGCUUAACUCGGAAACUGCCGUUGAUACUAUCAAUCUUGAAUGUUGUGGAGGUAAGCGGAAUAUGUCAUGUAGCGGUGAAAUGCUUAGAUAUGACAUAGAACACCGAUAGCGAAGGCAGCUUGCUACACAAUAAUUGACACUGAGGCACGAAAGCGAUGGGGAU
rnacentral:rRNA from 1 species